UGGUAACGCGCAGCCGCACGCUCGCGGCCCGCCCGCGAUGCCGCCACGCCGGCGGCUGGACCGCGAGCCCCGGGACCCGAACGGCCGCCUGCCAGCUGCCCGAAAAGCUAGAGUCCAAGGCGAGGCGACGAGGCCGUGCCCCGCGGGGACCAGAGGGCGCUGGCGGCGCGCAGGUGCUCGGAGAGGAGCGGGCUUCCCGGAAGGCGAGUGCCCAUCGGCCUCGGGGACCCGGGAGGGGAUGAGGAGGGAGGCAGAACGAACCCGCAGACGAAGCCGAGCGCGGCUGCUGUGGCCCGCGUCACCGAAGGGCAUGCGCCCCUCACCCAAAAAGAAGCCGACCACGAAGGGACUCGAACCCUCAAUCUUCUGAUCCGAAGUCAGACGCCUUAUCCGUUAGGCCACGCGGCCGUGACGCCCAGGGGGGCCGCAGUGCGCAGGCCAGGUGUAGCCCCCUCGGAGGUGGCGGCCCCGGCGUCGCGGGCAGGAGACGACCGCGGGCGCCGGACCCCAGGGUGCGUCACGGGUGUGCCAGGACCAGAGCCAGGGUGAAAUCCUUGUGGCAGCGUCAAUGCUAGUGUAGCUGGAGGUCGUGAAAUAGGUAUCCCGGCACCGCUAACCACGUAAGGGGACCGCGUGGCCUAAUGGAUAAGGCGUCUGACUUCGGAUCAGAAGAUUGAGGGUUCGAGUCCCUUCGUGGUCGAUAUGUUUUAAUCCUGAAGAGAUACUAGCACAAACUCUACCGCAACGGAAUCCUACGCUCUACCCUUGUUUUAGGCACAGGCGGGCCUCCGUACCCCUUCCUGACUAUAGCCCCUUUACCUGAGGCUGAUUGUGAGGGCUCCCGUCCAAUCGAGUUUUGCACCUGGGAGCUUCCGGGCCUGACGUAAUUACGCAGCCACACGGCCUCACAUUUCAAGAGACAUGUGAUCCGGCGCCGUUUGCGUGAAGCCCCAGUGGCCUAAUGGAUAAGGCACUGGCCUCCUAAGCCAGGGAUUGUGGGUUCGAGUCCCAUCUGGGGUGAGGUGAUUUAAUAGAGGAGGUGCUUUUUUGUAUCCCCUCUCAAGUAAAAACAAAUAUCAUACGGCGAAAUUUUUUUUCAUACCUUUGUGUGUGUGUGUGUGUGUGUGUGUGUGUGUGUGUGUGUGUGUGUGUGUGUGUGUGUAUGCCUUGUGCUGGUGAUUUGCCUUUUCUUUUUGAUCCAGCCCGACUGCAGUUUGAAAGAUAAACCUAUGAUAGGGCAAACGCGGUCCCACUUCUUGUUGCCCCAGUUGGUAUCCAAACACACCUCGUGAAAGUGCUGUGCGGGCUACACAUCCACGCACGAGUGAAGCGCGCGCGUUCUCUAACCGGCACCCACCGCCCACGGCCCCUGCUAGGACGAGGAGGGGUGCACGGAAGCACGUGUGUGCACGCGCAGUGCACGGGGAACGGGGGACAACAGUGCCAGCCUCUGGUGUCAGCCCAGGCCCGGAGGAAAAAGGUGGCUCAGGAGUGCUUCAGAGGGACUAUCGGAGAGAGAAGAAACAACAAACCAAACAAACUAGAAGUACAGAACCCUCCUCUCCCUUCUCCAGCGCCAUCCAGAAUUCUUCCUGCUCUCUCUGCUCCAACCAGUCACCAAGUUUUAUGGACGCCGCUUUAAGCCAUCCCUGGCUCCCAGGCCCUGCCACGGGGCUGCAGCAUCACGGCCCUCGACUGCAGCCACUGCCUCUUCUCUGGGUUUCCAGCUUCAGAUCCCCUAAGACCAUCCUCCAGGCCCUCCGCGGAGGUUACGUUCUAGUGAGAUAGAAGGCAGUGAACAAGUCAACUGAUGAAUAGGAUGAUUUCAAAAUAAAGAGGGUCACGAGGAGUUAUUGGUUGAGUACUCGGAGGCCUCUGGGUGGUGAAGAGCAACAGCACAUUGGCAGUCCUGUCACCUUCAGAGGACUUCUUUAAUGCCUUGACUGAUAUGCUACCUAUCUCGUAGGGUUGUUGUGAGGAGUACAUGAAAUGAUUUUCAUGUCAAGCGAGUAGAACAAUGCCGGGAACACAGCAGUGCUCUGUAAGUCACGACUGUCAUUUACUAAGACUAGUUUGCCCCAUUAUUCAAGGUUUAUGAUAUUCUCCUAGCUAGAUGUGACUCCCUGAAGGCUCAAAUUUCAUCUGACUUUUCUUUUCCUUAAUUCCAUAUUAAGAUUCUUCUGAAUGCCAAGCACAGUGCUAAACCCUGGAGAGUACAAAUAUGACUAAGGUAUAAUGCUAGCACUCAACAAAUAAUCUUCUAGAACCCUCUAGAUCUUUCUAAUUCUCUAGGAUUGAUUGGGUUACUCUUAUUCUUCCAAGCAUUCUGUAAUUACUUGAUUUCUCACUGAAAUUCAUGAAAAUGAGUUUGUUUCCAAGUGCCUGCAUUUUUUUUGUAUUGUGUAAUUUAUACUUUGGCUAUUAAUUGUUGGUUUUAUGUAAUAUUUGCUCUGGAAUCAGUUGAUGUGUACUGUAGUUUUUCUCUUUUUUUUAAUUUGAAGCUUCCCUAUAGUCUGUAAUCAAUUCCCAGUUAUUGUUUGUAUGACACAGAAUUUAGUAUAUAAGCUAUUAAGUGAGCCUUUUGUUAUAGUUUGCUAUAGUUUCAUUUUGCAAAUGCCCAAAAUAGGUGUGUUAAAAUCUUUACAACUGUUAGGUUUCUAGCAAUUUUAAACUUUUUUUGCUGUAUAUAUUCUAACAUUUUUUUCAGCACGUCAAGGUUCCAAUCAUUUUUUUCAUGUCAAUUGUUCCCUUUAAAGAAUUCAAUUUGACUCACUUCACUUUUUUGUCUUGAAUUCUACCUUGCUAGAUGGUAAUAUAACUCUACAUAGUUGCCCAUCCUUUAAAAAUGUGUAUUACAAAAGUUUUCAAACAUACACAGAAACAGAGAAUAGUGAAUGAACCAACCUAGAUUUGUCAGUCAUCAGGAUUUUUUCACGUUUGCUCCAUUAAUCCAUUUAUCCCUUCAUUUUUCUGAAAUAUUUUAAAGUUAUUCCAGACAUCGCAUCAUUUCACCCCAGUAGACACUCACAUACUUCAAUAUUCAUCUCUUAAUUAUCUUUUUACAGUUGAUUGGUGCAAACCAGUAUCCAGAUAAGGUCACACACAAGAUUUGGAUGUUGGGUUUCUUCAGCCUCUUUGAACCUUAAGCUGCCCCUGCCUUCCAUCUUACCUUACCUUUUUUACCACAAGUCAAUACACCAUUGACUUGUUGAAGGACAAAGGUCAAAUGUCCUGUAUUUUGGAUUUACCUUUAUUUCACGGUGUCAUUUAACUUGUUCCUCUAUCCUAGAUAUUUCCUCUAAAUUGGAAGUUAGUUUUAAUGCCUCCGUUAAAGUCAGGUUCAACUUUUUGGGACCCCAAAACAGAGGUGCCUGGGUGGCUCAGUCAUUAAGCAUCUGCCUUCUGCUCAGGAUGUGAUCCCAGGGGUCCUGGGAUUGAGUCCCGCAUCAGGCUCCUCGGCUGGGAGCCUGC